rnacentral:rRNA from 1 species
CCCUUAGACACUCUAGGCGGCACGCGCGCUACAAUGGGUGGAAGAACGUGUUACUGCCUCCGAAAGGAGGGGUGAAUCACGAAUUCUUGCCCGUGAAUGGGAUAGUUUGUUGCAAUUUUCGGACUAGAACUAGGAAUCCCUUGUAAACAUGCUCAAGAAUAGCGUGUUGAAUACGUCCCUGCCGUUUGUACACACCGCCCGUCGUUUCUUCCGACUGAUACUCAUUGUGAGUUGCAAGGACCCUUUAUUGGGAAAUUGCUGCAAAUGCUUUGUAUUGGAGGAAGAAAAAGUCGUAACA